rnacentral:rRNA from 1 species
CCUACGGGAGGCAGCAGUGAGGAAUAUUGGUCAAUGGGCGCUGGCCUGAACCAGCCAAGUAGCGUGAAGGAUGACUGCCCUAUGGGUUGUAAACUUCUUUUAUAUGGGAGUAAAGUGCAGACUGUAUACUGCUUUGCAUGUACCUUAUGAAUAAGGAUCGGCUAACUCCGUGCCAGCAGCCGCGGUAAUACGGAGGAUCCGAGCGUUAUCCGGAUUUAUUGGGUUUAAAGGGGGCGUAGGCGGGUUCUUAAGUCAGUUGUGAAAGUUUGGGGGUCAACCGUAAAAUUGCAGUUGAUACUGGUAACCGUGAGUACAGUAGAGGUAGGCGGAAUGCGUGGUGUAGCGGUGAAAUGCUUAGAUAUCACGCAGAACUCCGAUUGCGAAGGCAGCCUGCUGGACUGCAACUGACGCUGAGGCUCGAAAGUGUGGGUAUCAAACAGGAUUAGAUACCCGAGUAGUC